rnacentral:rRNA from 1 species
UACGUAGGGACCGAGCGUUGUCCGGAAUCAUUGGGCGUAAAGAGCGUGUAGGCGGCCUUUUAAGUCCUGCGUGAAAUCCUGCGGCUCAACCGCAGACGGUCGUGGGAAACUGGAAGGCUAGAGUGCGGGAGAGGAGAGUGGAAUUCCCGGUGUAGCGGUGAAAUGCGCAGAUAUCGGGAAGAACACCCGUGGCGAAGGCGGCUCUCUGGAACGCAACUGACGCUGAGACGCGAAAGCGUGGGUAGCAAACAGG